GCCGGGCAGAGUGGCAUGUGGCUGUAGUCCCAGCUACUCGGAGGCAUAGGCAGGAGGAUCACUUGAGUCCAGGAGUUUUGUGCUGUAGUGCACUAUGCCAAGCAGGUGUUCACACCAAGUUCACUAUCAAUAUGAUGACCUUUCAGGGGCAGGGAGAGGUGAAAGAGCCCAGGUUGGAGAAAAAGCAGGCCAAAACUCCUGUGAUGAUCAUUAGUGGGAUAACACCUGUGAAUAACCACUGCACUCCAGCCUAGGUAACAGAGACCCCAUAUCUGGG
ensembl:misc_RNA Metazoa_SRP Metazoan signal recognition particle RNA